AUUGAACGCUGGCGGCAUGCCUUACACAUGCAAGUCGAACGGCAGCACGGGUGCUUGCACCUGGUGGCGAGUGGCGAACGGGUGAGUAAUACAUCGGAACGUACCUUAUCGUGGGGGAUAACGCAGCGAAAGCUGUGCUAAUACCGCAUACGCCCUGAGGGGGAAAGCGGGGGAUCGCAAGACCUCGCGCGAUUAGAGCGGCCGAUGCCUGAUUAGCUUGUUGGUGGGGUAAAAGCCCACCAAGGGGACGAUCAGUAGCUGGUCUGAGAGGACGAUCAGCCACACUGGGAGUGAGACACGGCCCAGACUCCUACGGGAGGCAGCAGUGGGGAAUUUUGGACAAUGGGGGCAACCCUGAUCCAGCAAUGCCGCGUGAGUGAAGAAGGCCUUCGGGUUGUAAAGCUCUUUUGUCAGGGAAGAAACACCGGCUCUAACACAGUCCGGGAAUGACGGUACCUGAAGAAUAAGCACCGGCUAACUACGUGCCAGCAGCCGCCGUAA
rnacentral:rRNA from 1 species